CAGCAAAAAGAUUGGACUCCGAAUAAUUACACCAUUACCAAUGAGACAUGCUAUAGUUGGAGCAACACCACUAAUAACUCUAGCAAGAGUGAUAAACAGAACUAUCAGACUGAACAAAAGAGUGUGUGAACUAUUCCCCUCAAUCUCUUCAACAGAGUUUUUAUUUGACACGGGUAUCUACAGCCAGGGUCGCUGCAUUCGCCUGCCACACACCUACAAAUUUACAUCUACAGGAUUGCCUGAGAGACUGCUAAAAUUGUUUGUCUGUCACCCAUUUCCAGAUAAGACCUCCUAUGUCAAGAACAGCUUCGUGCUGACAAACCUUUUGUAUCACAGUACCAGUGAGGAUCUAAGAUCUGGAGAUUAUAAUCUAAUAUUGGACAUUCGUGAUAAAGAUGAGGAUUUUUUAUCCUGCAAGACUGUGGCCAGCUUACCAAAAAAUUCUCUAGAUAUUGACAAACUGGAAGAUAUUUUGGGGUGCCCGGUCCAGUCCUGGAUAGACACCACCUUGUGGCCAUUGUUUUGUGAGCAGUUAGUCAAAUAUCUGCCACAGAAAAAUGCAAAUGAACUAAACAACAUUUCAUUUAACGUUGUGUCUAACAACAUGCUACAACUGAAACCUCGCAGAGGUCCAGGCUUCUCCUGUCUGACUCAUCAACACAGAACAAAAUCACAUAAUGUGAGGCUUUUCAUAACCCUGGGAAAGUUCUCACGUGACGUCAUAACUGCAACACUUAUGAGUCAAUGCUUUGCCAAUAAGUGCAACAACAAUAAGCCUGUGACACAUUGCACCGUGCAUGCUCGAGUGUAGAGGACUCUCCGAUCCUGGGCACCAUACAGUACCCACAGCUCGCAGAAUGGCACAGCAGAUGUUGGAGGCGGGCGCGCUGGACCAAAUGAUGGAAGGUAUGUCUUUACAAAAUAAGGAAUCCUACUUAACACUUUUGUAAAAUUUGGAGUUUAAAUUUGGUCUUAAAAUCUCUUGUUUCCCCCCAGGACUACCAUCUGAUUUUGACUUUGAUACAUCUGAUGAAGAAGGUGAGCUCUCAGAUUCUCCACCAGUUGAGGAGCCAACGGGGCCAGUCCGGGAUGUGGUGUACGAACCUGACCCACUCUUCGACGACCCACCACCAACACCCUCGCCAGACGUCAAGCCACCUUCUCCAAAGGCUAGAAAGCGCGCCCUGUCUCCUGAAAUUGUCCACAACUCUCCUCUGCUUAGAGAUACAACAAAGUAUGAGCCUGCACCCAAAAGAAGCUAUUCUUACCACCCCAGACGCAGUCCACAGAGAGAAAAUGCUAACCAGAAGCAGAAAAGGGGACCAGACUCACGAAGACCAAACAGAUGGAACCAGAAAAGCCAGAAACAAUAUUGGUCCCCCAAACCUCUUCUGGAUUACAGCAAAAUUCCAAGAGCAGAGUACAAAAAUGCCAAACUGUUGGUGCCUACAACUGGUAAACUGCGCCCAGAGUUCUAUACUGAUCGGUUUGUGGAUGCUAUAAUUCAGAACGCUGCCAGAAAUUGUCCAGUGUCUGAAAAGGCGGUAUCACUAAAAAAUAUUGAAGAGUCUUUCAAACUGCUUAACUCUUUCUUUAACAGUGGAAUAAAUAAGGAUCAUUGGCUAUCUACAAGGUAUUUUGCAAUCUUCAACAACGGCCUGGUGGUGCUGACCCACAUGCUAGACGAACAGUUGGCCUGGGCAUAUGCUUGCCUGAAACACGGUAGGGAGUUGCCCACUGACGACAUACUCAUGUCUACUUCAGAAAAAUUGUCCCAACAGCUUGUGAUAAAACUCAUAGAGGUGAUAAAAUGUAUAGAAAAGGAUGGAAUAUUCAGCAGGAUCCUCAAAGGUGUGGCAGAUGCGGUAUGCCUUAAGGCCCAGUUCUUACGUGGUAUGAUCACCCUGAAGAGAACCCCUUGCAGCCUUCCCAUGUAUACCCUGUUUGUUUAUGUACUGACUAUUCCCACUCUGAGAACACGUGUAAUCAGGGACCCUCUGCUGACACAGUGUAAGGAUGUGGUCCUAAAGUAUCAGCCAGGCGACUGUAUAACCCUAUUGAAAGCUGCACUAAAUUGUCAUCAGUGUAACAAAGACUGUGAUAAAUGUAAAUAUAUUUUGGAUCCCCUGUUGGGACAAACACACCGCACCAAGGGGGUAUUUUUUGUGUGUGAAUAAUCAAUAAUAAACACAAUUGAACUGCA
rnacentral:tmRNA from 1 species